UGCCCACUAAAAUACUUUCUGGUAUAAUUCUGGUAUAUAUUUCUAAACUUCUAGUAUAUUGCAAACGUUUCUUGAAAAAACGAUUUCGGGCACACUUAAAAAGCGGCGUCGGUUUCGAGAAGUUGUGCAGCGAAAAGUGAAGUGAAAAAGUUAAAAGUAAAAGUUAUGAGUGAUAUUGACCUUCCUUCUUCUGGAGGAGUGGGAUUUCAGAGACUUAUUGCCCACAUUUCUCGGUGAGAGUAUACACAUGUAACAAUAAAACAUAACUAUGUAAAUGGAAUCAACAAAAUAAAAGCUAUAGUCGAGACAAAAGUACCAGUUAGGAUGUGAAAUAUGGACUAAUAUAUAUUUGAAAUAUAUAUAUAUAAGUCCAUAAUAUUAUUAAUUAAG